rnacentral:rRNA from 1 species
UGGGGAAUUUUACGCAAUGGGCGAAAGCCUGACGUAGCGACACCGCGUGAGCGAAGAAGCCUUUUGGGGUGUAAAGCUCUGUCAGCUGGAAAGAACACAAUGACGGUACCAGCAGAGGAAGCAUCGGCUAACUACGUGCCAGCAGCCGCGGUAAGACGUAGGAUGCAAGCGUUGUCCGGAUUUAUUGGGCGUAAAGAGUUCGUAGGCUGUUUGUUAAGUCUGGUGUUAAAGACUGAGGCCCAACCUCGGAAAUGCAUCGGAUACUGGCAGACUUGAGUACGGUAGAGGCGAGUGGAAUUCCCAGUGUAGCGGUGAAAUGCGUAGAUAUUGGGAAGAACACCGGUGGCGUAGGCGACUCGCUGGGCCGCAACUGACGCUGAGGAACGAAAGCCAGGGGAGCGAAUGG